rnacentral:rRNA from 1 species
AAACCUCGUUAAGGAACUCGGCAAUCUAGCCCCGUAACUUCGGAAGAAGGGGUCCCCGGCGCGAGCCGGGGCGCAGUGAACGGGCCCAUGCGACUGUUUAACAAAAACACAGCACUCUGCCAACCCGCAAGGGGACGUAUAGAGUGUGACACGUGACCAAUGCGGAAAGGUCAAGGCGAGGGGUCAGCCGCGAGGCGAAGCUCCGAACCGAAGCCCCCGUGAAUGUCGGCCGUAACUAUAACGGUCCUAAGGUAGCGAAAUUCCUUGUCGGGUAAGUUCCGACCUGCACGAAUCGUGUAACGAUAUGGGCGCUGUCUCAACGAGGAUCUCGGUGAAGUUGUAAUGCCGGUGAAAAUGCCGGAUACCCGCAGAAGGACGGAAAGACCCUGUGAACCUUUACUGUAAUCUGGUACUGUAUUCUGGCCGCCUAUGCGUAGCAUAGCCGGGAGCCUUGGAAGCCCCUCCUUCGGGGGGGGCGGAGGCGCCAGUGAAAUACCGGUCUUAGACGGACGGAAUUCUAACCGCGAGCCGUUUUCCGGCCGCGGGACAAUGCCAGAGGGUCAGUUUGACUGGGGCGGUUUCCUCCCAAACAGUAACGGAGGAGUUCGAAGGUACACUCAGCACGGUCGGCAAUCGUGCGUCGAGCGCAAGGGUAGAAGUGUGCUUAACUGCGAGAGGGACACCUCGAGCAGAUGCGAAAGCAGGACCUAGUGAUCCGGCGGUAACUCGUGGUAGUGCCGUCGCUCAACGGAUAAAAGGUACUCCGGGGAUAACAGGCUGAUCGCAGCCGAGAGUUCAUAUCGACGCUGCGGUUUGGCACCUCGAUGUCGGCUCAUCGCAUCCUGGGGCUGGAGAAGGUCCCAAGGGUUUGGCUGUUCGCCAAUUAAAGCGGUACGCGAGCUGGGUUCAGAACGUCGUGAGACAGUUCGGUCCAUAUCCUCUGCGGGCGCAGGAGAAUUGACGGGAACAUUCCCUAGUACGAGAGGACCGGGAAUGACCGGCCUAUGGUGUUCCGGUUGUCGCGCCAGCGGCACCGCCGGGUAGCCACGCCGGGAACGGAUAAGCGCUGAAAGCAUCUAAGCGCCAAGCCUCCCCGAAGACAAGUUCUCCCGCCCGAAAGGGCCUGAAGGCAGGUGGCAGACCACCACCUCGAUAGGACGGGCGUGCAAGUCCAGCAAUGGGCUCAGCGGACCGUUACUAAUCAGCCGUGAGGCUUGGCCG